AUACGUAGGGGGCAAGCGUUGUCCGGAUUUACUGGGUGUAAAGGGCGCGUAGGCGGGCUAAUAAGUCAGAGGUGAAAUCCUGCAGCUUAACUGCAGAACUGCCUUUGAUACUGUUAGUCUUGAGUAUGGUCAAGGUAGGCGGAAUGUGUAAUGUAGCGGUGAAAUGCUUAGAUAUUACACAGAACACCGAUUGCGAAGGCAGCUUACUGGGCCAUUACUGACGCUGAUGCACGAAAGCGUGGGGAUC
rnacentral:rRNA from 1 species